AGAAGCAGAUUCUGGGCCAGGAUCCACAUUACAAACUAUGCCUGGAGGGACUAACACCUUCCUCAGAGUCUGUGUGCAGGGCUGUGUGGAGGGUCUGAUGAUUUUGUGGGCUAUCCUGACAGAGAUUAUUAGAGACCCCUUUGGUCUGCUGAUGUGAGUUGAACCAGGGUUAGUGAAAACCAGGGACAGAGAGGUUAACUAGGGGCCUGAGCGUCAGCUCUGAGUCCUUUCUUUGAAUGAUUUGUCAGAAGCCUUGAGCUCAGCCAAGUUACAGCAUCUUCUUCACCCUCUGCUAGUUAUAACACUCCCCAAACCCCUGAGUCUGAUGUGUGAGAGGAGUGAUUGUCUGGUAGGAUGUUGGGUGGGGGGCACAUGCAUGAAGACAAAUGGCCAUUUAAGUAUACUUGAUGUUGGUGAGCUAGAGCUGAGAAAUUAGCAGUGAUUAAGAAAAGUCCAGUAUUACUGGGGUGAAAUCUAAUGGAAAGUGUUUCUUGAAAGCACACAGAAGCUGUGUUCCAGAGAUGGCCGAAGUUGUACUUCUCCACUGGCAGCCAAAUUUGGUCACGUGGAAGAGUCACCCAGGUGGUAUUGGUUUAAAGGUAUGAGGAGUCAUGGAGAGUCUUGGCACUGACAGUACAGCCUUGGUGGCAGUUGAAGGCCAAGGAUUGAAGGGGUCAUGCAGAAAAGUUGAGGCUUGUCACCAUGAAGAGAGUCCGGGAAAGACUACUGGUAAAAGUGCAGCCCAGUUGAAGCAGAAGACCCCAGCAUUUUCUGAUCCAAGUGUCAUGGGAUGACCAUCAAAACAGCAGCUGCAGUGGAGUAGAGCCAGCCAGAUCCUAAAAGACAAGCUGUUUGUGCUACAGAGGGCUGAGCCGCAGAAGUAACUCAAGCUCCUUAGAGGAGCACAGAAGAUCUUGAGUGGAUCUCAGACGUUGGAAGAUGCACUAGUUACACUUUUGGAGUUUGGUUUUGUUUUGCUUUGAUUGCGAUUUUGAGCUGGUUCUUCUCUCUUGAAAUAAGAAAGUAUUUAAUCUACUUUUGAUUUUACAGGAACCCACAACUGAGAGACUGAAUUUUAAAAGACUUAAAUUUUAAGAGAAAUUGGUUAUUUUAAAGAGAGUGCACUUUUAAUGUAAUAGAAUUUGUGAGAACUGUGGGACCUUCAAGUUGUUUGUGUUUUGCAUUGUGAUAUUAAUAUUAACAUAACAUUUUGGGGAUACGUGUGAAAAAAAGGUUCUAAUUAAAAAGUGACAUGUUGGGGCUUGAGCUCAACAAUUUAGAGCACCGGCUGCUUAUCCAGACGUCCCGAGUUCAAAUCCCAGCACCCACAUGGUGGCUCACAGUGUCUAUAACAGUAUUCCCGUGAGAUUCAAUACACUCUUCUGGUGCGCAGAUGUACACAAAGACAAAAACACCCAUAUACAUAAAAUAU